rnacentral:lncRNA from 1 species
CUGCCUCUGCAAUAAGCAAUUAAGGGAAAACAUCUGUUUCACAUCUCCCAUUCCUCCUUUUCCAGGAUACUCCCCCAGUUUGUCUCUCCCUGAUGCCGCAGCCUGGAGACAAGUGAUUUCUGCAAGGAGGCUGUGCAAACAGCGCGUGUGGAAAGCAGGGCAGGAGGUGGCCAGGAGCAACAGGAACAUCCAGAACCCGCUCCUGACUCCCUCGUUGUGCUUUCCGUUGGGUUCUGCCCUGUUCCAUUCCAGGGGGAAGCUGUUCCCAGGCUCUGGAGGUGCAGAAAAUAAACGCAGGAGCAGCUCUGCUGGCUGAGCUAAUGACAGAGCUGAAGAAGUGUCAACACCGAAAUCGCUCGGGGUGGCAGCAAUGAUGUUCACAGGGACAUGGGAGCCACAGAAAAUACUCUCCUCAAGGCUGCUUGCCCCUGACUAAACUGUGUUUGCAGCAGGAAAAGCCAAAACCUUGCCCAGAGGCAGCGCAGUGCUCCAGGUGAGCCCCAUGCCUACUCCAGCUCCAGUGGGUGAGGGAAUGCUCUGCUCUCCCUGGCUCCUCUGUCCUCCCCCGCUGCCAGCCCAGUCUCAGGCUGGCAUAUUUGCUAUUUAUUUGUUAUUUUUUAUUUAUUUUAUUUAUUAGCUGUUUGCUAUUUCCUCCUUAUUUAUUUAUUUGCACUUUGCUAUUUUCUUAAUCAGGGGCCGACAUCACCAAUGGUGGAGUCCAACCCAAUUCCUGACAGUUCCGUGUGUCAUUUUCAUUCUUGGCAGGGGGAGUUCAUCUUCUGUGACUUCACCUUCCAUAAAGUUUGAGCGGAAUUCACCUAAAACGCCCGUGAACUCCAUGAAGGGAGGUUGGCAGAGAUGAGCAGUUCCUCUGAGGUCCCUUGGACACCUGAGUUUGGGAUGAAUCACCCUCUGGAGAGGAAACGGCCUCGAGCUGAGCCAGGGCAGGCUGAGAUUGGAUAGUAGGAAAAAUUUUCUUCAUGGAAAGGGUUAUCAAGUGUUGGGACUGGCUGCCCAGGGAAUGGUGAAGUCACCAUCCCUGCAGAGAUUUAAAAACGUGUGGAUGUGGCGCGUUGGGUAGUGGUGGGCUUGGCAGUGCUGGGGAAUGGGUGGUCUUGGAGGUCCUUUCCAAUCUUAAUAAUUCUAUGGCAUGCCAAUUUUUCUUCAGGGCUUGCAGAGAUACUGAUUUUUUUCCAAUCCAUGUGUGAAAUGUUAGUUUAGGAUGGUGAAAAUCAGGGUGCCUGAGUGAUGGGCUCUUAAUGCAACCUCGUGGUUCUCUGACAAAAUCUGGAUGAACGUGUGGAAACCACUCAUCC